UACGAAGGGUGCAAGCGUUGCUCGGAAUCACUGGGCGUAAAGCGCACGUAGGCGGCUUGUUAAGUCUGGGGUGAAAUCCUGGAGCUCAACUCCAGAACUGCCUUUGAUACUGGCGAUCUCGAGUCCGGGAGAGGUGAGUGGAACUCCGAGUGUAGUGGUGAAAUGCGUAGAUAUCGGGAGGAACGCCAGUGGCGAAGGCGACUACCUGGCCUGUUCUUGACGCUGAGGCGCGAAAGCUAGGGGAGCAAACGGG
rnacentral:rRNA from 1 species